rnacentral:rRNA from 1 species
GCGGAGGGUGCAAGCGUUAUUCGGAAUUACCGCGCGCCCCGCUCCCUUCUUCCUCUUUUUCCGCCCUUUUUUCCCUCCCACGGCUCCCCCCUCGCCCCUCCCUUGAAACUGCAGAGCUUGAAUCCUGGAGAGGGUGGCGGAAUUCCUGGUGUAGUAGUGAAAUCCCGAGGUGUAGGGGGGAAGAGGGGGGGGGGGGGAGGAGGGAGGGAAAGGCAGGGAAGAGGAGGGGAGAAAGGGGGGGGAGAAAAAAG